AAUCUUACUUGGCAGGGGUGAUGCUAUGAUCUUGAAGGCAGUGCACCCAGAGUGUGACUCGGCUCCUGCACUUUGAUUGUGCUGACCCCUUUGAAUUCCCCAAAUGCAGCAAUCUCGACUGCAUAAUUUCUGGUCAGUGCAUGGUAUUUCUAGAACAAUCCAAGUG
ensembl:snRNA U1 U1 spliceosomal RNA